rnacentral:snRNA from 1 species
AGAUGGAAGGGUGAUCUGGUUGCAACAUCUUUCGCCCUGUACAUCACCAAAGUUGACUCAGCUAAUCUGGCUGGCUAGGUUGGUGUCUCCUUUCAACCUUACCACUCAGUGUGUGUCUCACCCAAGGCUUCAUGCUUGGUUGAAGAGGACAAUCUUCCCUUACAGAGGAGGAGCAUUCUUUCCCAGGGUAUAUGAGUAGCUGUCCUCCUCCUGGUGGAACCUUUAAACAAGCUUUCAUUUCAAUUAAUACAUUACCAAUUCCCGAAUUUUCCAUGAAAAUGCUUAUACAUUU